GGCCUAACACAUGCAAGUCGAACGAGAAAGCUCCUUCGGGAGUAAGUAAAGUGGCGAACGAGUGAGUAACACGUGGGAAUCUACUCUUUAGUGAAGAAUAACCUCGGGAAACUGAGGACAAUGCUGCAUACGUCCCUUCGGGGAGAAAGUUGGCCUCUUGCUGACGCUGAAGAAUGAGCCUGCGGACUAUCAGCUUGUUGGUGAGGUAAUAGCUCACCAAGGCUAUGACGGUUAGUCGGCCCGAGAGGGUGAACGGCCACGCUGGAACUUAGACACGGUCCAGACUCCUACGGGAGGCAGCAGUGGGGAAUCUUGCUCAAUGGGCGAAAGCCUGAAGCAGCGACGCCGCGUGAAGGAUGAAGGUCUUCGGAUUGUAAACUUCUGUUAAGUGGGAAGAAAGACUCAAGCUUAAUACCUAUGUGUGAUGACGGUACCGGAAGAAUAAGCACC
rnacentral:rRNA from 1 species